rnacentral:rRNA from 1 species
AUUGAACGCUGGCGGCAUGCUUUACACAUGCAAGUCGAACGGUAACAGGUUAAGCUGACGAGUGGCGAACGGGUGAGUAAUGCAUCGGAACGUGCCCGGUCGUGGGGGAUAACGCAGCGAAAGCUGCGCUAAUACCGCAUACGAUCUGAGGAUGAAAGCGGGGGACCGUAAGGCCUCGCGCGAUCGGAGCGGCCGAUGUCAGAUUAGGUAGUUGGUGGGGUAAAGGCUCACCAAGCCGACGAUCUGUAGCUGGUCUGAGAGGACGGCCAGCCACACUGGGCAUGAGGCACGGCCCAGACUCCGACGGGAGGCAGCAGCGGUGAAUUUUGGACAAUGGGCGCAAGCCUGAUCCAGCAAUGCCGCGUGCAGGAAGAAGGCCUUCGGGUUGUAAACUGCUUUUGUACGGAGCGAAAAGGCUCUCUCUAAUACGGAGGGCUCAUGACGGUACCGUAAGAAUAAGCACCGGCUAACUACGUGCCAGCCGCCGCCGUAA